rnacentral:tRNA from 1 species
GCCCCCAUAGUUAAAUGGAUAUAACGGGCCCCUCCUAAGGGUCUGUUGUAGGUUCGAUUCCUACUGGGGGUGCCA